GAUGGGCUCGCGGCCUAUCAGCUUGUUGGUGGGGUGAUGGCCUACCAAGGCGACGACGGGUAGCCGGCCUGAGAGGGCGACCGGCCACACUGGGACUGAGACACGGCCCAGACUCCUACGGGAGGCAGCAGUGGGGAAUAUUGCACAAUGGGCGGAAGCCUGAUGCAGCGACGCCGCGUGAGGGAUGACGGCCUUCGGGUUGUAAACCUCUUUCAGCAGGGACGAAGCGUAAGUGACGGUACCUGCAGAAGAAGCGCCGGCCAACUACGUGCCAGCAGCCGCGGUAAGACGUAGGGCGCGAGCGUUGUCCGGAUUUAUUGGGCGUAAAGAGCUCGUAGGCGGCUUGUCGCGUCGACCGUGAAAACUUGGGG
rnacentral:rRNA from 1 species